CCCAGUGCUCUGAAUGUC
rnacentral:ncRNA from 3 species